GGUCUGGCUGAUUUCACUUAACAUAAUGUCCUUCAGGUUCAUCCACAUUGUGCCAAAUGUUAAUCCUCUGUGGCCAUGUCGGGUCUGUUGGUGGAGAUGCCAAACACGGAAGACAGUGAAGUGGUGGCUCAGCGUUCUCCAAAGGAAUGAGCAAGCAGAUGAGGCAAAGCACACUCUGAAGAGUGACAACUAUAGCUUCCAUAAGAAAGUUUUGGAGGCUCCUAAAAAUGACAGAUAAAUGAACUAACCUAAUCAGCAAAAUUAAACUAUAGGAAAGAGUAUGGACCUUGAAAAGACAGCUUAGCCAGCUUGACGACUAAAGCAACACCUUUCCAAGCAACAUUGGAAAUUUGACCUCCUCAUCAGAAAAAUGUGUAUAGACAUCUCUGGAGUCAGGCUACCCCAUAUGAAGCUUGGAUUUUGGCUUCACUGUGGCUGCAGGUAUUUGAGGAUGCAAUUAGCUGAACUAAUCUCACUCAAAUUCCUAAGUGCGACUUCUUACGUGGUUUUCAUCUAGCCGUUCUAUCUAUCCCAACAAGAAUCUGUUGCUAGACCUCAAAAACACUGAGUGCUGUCAGGAAAAAAUGUACAAGGCACCACAAAGAUUAUGGGGCAUCUACUAUGGAAAACCUAGACAUUGUCUAGAGCAUUGUUUGUGGUUAUCUCUGUCUUUCAUUGCCUUUGAUCUAUUUUUCAACUCUCCACAUUGUAGAAAAUGACUGAUAAUUCAAAUGAUUCUUUUCCAUAAAAAUGGAAGUGAACAAUGUUCG
rnacentral:lncRNA from 1 species